CCUACGGGAGACAGCAGUGAGGAAUAUUGGUCAAUGGGCGGAAGCCUGAACCAGCCAAGUAGCGUGCAGGAUGACGGCCCUACGGGUUGUAAACUGCUUUUAUACUGGAAUAACGCGCCUUACGUGUAGGGCUUUGCAUGUACCGUAUGAAUAAGGACCGGCUAAUUCCGUGCCAGCAGCCGCGGUAAUACGGAAGGUCCGGGCGUUAUCCGGAUUUAUUGGGUUUAAAGGGAGCGUAGGCCGCAUGUCAAGCGUGCUGUGAAAUGUCCGGGCUCAACCCGGGCCUUGCAGCGCGAACUGGCGUACUUGAGUCCGCGGAAAGCAGGCGGAAUUCGUCGUGUAGCGGUGAAAUGCUUAGAUAUGACGAAGAACCCCGAUUGCGAAGGCAGCUUGCUGCAGCGGAACUGACGCUGAUGCUCGAAAGCGCGGGUAUCGAACAGGAUUAGAUACCCGAGUAGUC
rnacentral:rRNA from 1 species